AGAGUUUGAUCCUGGCUCAGGAUGAACGCUAGCGAUAGGCUUAACACAUGCAAGUCGAGGGGCAGCAUGGUCUUAGCUUGCUAAGACUGAUGGCGACCGGCGCACGGGUGCGUAACGCGUAUGCAACUUGCCUCACAGAGGGGGAUAACCCGUCGAAAGACGGACUAAUACCGCGUACACUUAUCGGAGGGCAUCCUUUGGUAAGGAAAUGAAUUUCGCUGUGAGAUAGGCAUGCGUCCCAUUAGCUAGUUGGUGAGGUAACGGCUCACCAAGGCGACGAUGGGUAGGGGAACUGAGAGGUUGAACCCCCACACUGGUACUGAGACACGGACCAGACUCCUACGGGAGGCAGCAGUGAGGAAUAUUGGUCAAUGGGCGAGAGCCUGAACCAGCCAAGUCGCGUGAAGGAUGACUGUCUUAUGGAUUGUAAACUUCUUUUGUAGGGGAAUAAAGAACAGCACGUGUGCUGUAGUGAAUGUACCCUACGAAUAAGCAUCGGCUAACUCCGUGCCAGCAGCCGCGGUAAUACGGAGGAUGCGAGCGUUAUCCGGAUUUAUUGGGUUUAAAGGGUGCGUAGGCGGCCUGUUAAGUCAGCGGUGAAAUCUAGGAGCUUAACUCCUAAAUUGCCAUUGAUACUGGCGGGCUUGAGUGUAGAUGAGGUAGGCGGAAUGCGUGGUGUAGCGGUGGAAUGCAUAGAUAUCACGCAGAACUCCGAUUGCGAAGGCAGCUUACUAAGGUACAACUGACGCUGAAGCACGAAAGCGUGGGUAUCAAACAGGAUUAGAUACCCUGGUAGUCCACGCAGUAAACGAUGAUAACUGGGCGUAUGCGAUAUACAGUAUGCUCCUAAGCGAAAGCGUUAAGUUAUCCACCUGGGGAGUACGCCGGCAACGGUGAAACUCAAAGGAAUUGACGGGGGCCCG
rnacentral:rRNA from 1 species